rnacentral:rRNA from 1 species
GAUGAACGCUGGCGGCGUGCUUAACACAUGCAAGUCGAACGAACCUUCGGGUUAGUGGCGGACGGGUGAGUAACGCGUGGGAAUCUGCCCUCAGGACGGGGGAUAACGGCUGGAAACGGCCGCUAAUACCCCAUAUGCCGAGAGGUGAAAUGAAUUUCGCCUGAGGAUGAGCCCGCGUCUGAUUAGCUAGUUGGUGAGGUAAGAGCUCACCAAGGCAUCGAUCAGUAGCUGGUCUGAGAGGAUGAUCAGCCACACUGGGACUGAGACACGGCCCAGACUCCUACGGGAGGCAGCAGUGGGGAAUUUUCCGCAAUGGGCGAAAGCCUGACGGAGCAACGCCGCGUGAGGGAUGAAGGCCUCUGGGCUGUAAACCUCUUUUCUCAAGGAAGAAGAUCUGACGGUACUUGAGGAAUAAGCCACGGCUAAUUCCGUG